rnacentral:lncRNA from 1 species
UUCCCCUCCCUCUCUUUUCAAUCUUUACUACACUUGGUCAAAGAAUUAGCUUGUGCAAUGGCCUAGACAUGAGAGGAUUUAAGUAAUUUACAAUUUUAGGGUUCAUGAGAAGAUUCGCGGAUGGAAAGUUAGCCCAAGUGACGUUAAAGAACAAACAAAUGAAGUCCAAGUAAGUAAUGUUGAAAAAAGCUAAUAUGAGAC